rnacentral:misc_RNA from 1 species
AGCCCCGGUGGCUCUGACCCUUCAAUCUUUUAUAACUCUACCAGUUACUGGGAUGAGUUUGUGUGGGGUGGAGCUUGGUUGUAUUAUGCUACUGGAAAUUCUAGUUAUCUUCAACUUUCUACCACUCCUGGCAUUGCCAAACAUGCGGGUGCUUUCUGGGGUGGACCUGAUUAUGGAGUAUUGAGCUGGGACAACAAGCUUGCUGGUGCCCAGGUUCUUCUAAGUCGUUUGCGACUGUUCUUGAGCCCUGGUUAUCCAUAUGAGGAAAUCUUGAGGACGUUCCACAAUCAAACUAGCAUAGUCAUGUGUUCCUACCUGCCAUUUUUCACAAAAUUUAAUCGUACUAGAGGAGGCUUAAUUCAGCUAAACCAUGG